GAGCUUUCUCAAGGUAUAAGAAAGUCUGCAGAGGCGUAUUUCUGGGCAGCCAGUCUUCCAGAAGUUAUUCUGCUGGCUGUCACUGUGCACAGAGAAUAAACUGUUUUCCUCCAAAGAAGGAUCUUUCCUGGUGCUUUCUUUUGCUCUCUCUCUGGAUCUGAGGACGCGGGCCAACGAUUCCCUGGCAUGGACUAGGCUCAGCCUACAUCUUGGUUCCCUGACCGGGAAUCUGCCCCACCUCAGAGGGCUGGGGAGAGCCAGGCUCGACCUUGGUGGACAGCUCGGAUCGGCAAUUGCAGGCUCCACGCGCACCCUGCCAAUUUGUGGGGGGAGCCAGCCACACCGCUCCGGAGCAAGGACCCAGGUCGAGGGAGGAAAGAGGAC